rnacentral:tRNA from 1 species
CGGUGUGUAGCGCAGCCCGGUAGCGCAUUUCGUUCGGGACGAAAAGGUCGGAGGUUCAAAUCCUCUCACACCGACCA